rnacentral:lncRNA from 12 species
UGAACACGGACAUACAAUUAGGAAGGCCAUUCUGCCAUCUUCUUUCAGAGCUGACAAGAAGCUUCAACAUUCAGGUCUAGCAGAAAAUUCUACUCAAGCCUUAUAGUUUCCAAAUCUAACUCCUGUCCAUCUAUUGUUAAAAAAGAUGCAAGAUGUUCCAAUGUAGCUUCUGCGGCUCUCGUCUGUAUCCCAGCAGUCAUCAUGCCAUUUCCAAAGAUUUGUGCCCUCAGCCUGUGUUAGCUGCUGGAAACCCCAGUGCCAUCAGCUGAAGGAGGGCGUUUACCGAAAGGUAUUGAAGUACAUGAACAUGCUAAGAAAGGCCAAAUGCAGUCUACUUCCCUGCUGGACGUGGAUUCCUGCAGUCUCCUGGAGGCCUUCAGAGAUCAGUGGAAAGGAAGUCUCCUUGCCCUGUCCUAUUUUCACACACUGGGUCUUCCUUGCCUUCUGGAGUUGCCACCUUCCCCAGGAAUUCAUGGAUCAGAGAAGGGAGGAUUCACAACUGGAGAAUAGGGCAGACAGAAGGAUAAAUGGAAGAUCCAGCAAGGAAAUAGCACAGAAAACAGGAUCUGAGAGGCAGAAUGCAGUGAAGACGGAGUAA